rnacentral:lncRNA from 1 species
AUUUUAGGAUAAGCGGAAAUAGGAACUCAGUCAAAGCUAGGUCAUGAAACAAAUUAAUGUUAAUUAAAAUAGUAUUUAGGUUAUAUACUUACAUAACUAUCAAAAUCUAUAAUUAUACUUCCUAGAAAAAAUUCUUUAUACUGUGUUCUGUUAUUUGAAGGAUUUUACAAAUUAUUAACUUUAUUCAAGUAGAUAAAUCUCUAAAUC